GGAUUAGAUACCCUGGUAGUCCACGCCGUAAACGAUGUCUGCUAAUUGUCGGGGGCUUAGCCUUCGGUGAUGGAGAGAAAUUAUUAAGCAGACCGCCUGGGGAGUACGGCCGCAAGGUUAAAACUCAAAGGAAUUGACGGGGACCCGCACAAGCGGUGGAGCAUGUUCUUUAAUUCGAAGCAACGCGAAGAACCUUACCCACUCUUGACAUCCUCCUUGGGACUUUCAGAGAUGAUCGUCUUCGGUUCGGCCGGGGGAGUGACAGGUGCUGCAUGGCUGUCGUCAGCUCGUGUCG
rnacentral:rRNA from 1 species